rnacentral:rRNA from 1 species
CAAGUCGAGCGAGAAAAGGGGAGCAAUCCUCUGAGUAAAGCGGCGCACGGGUGAGUAACACGUGGGUAAUCUGCCCUGAAGUGGGGAAUAACACCGGGAAACCGGUGCUAAUACCGCAUAUGAUCACGGUGUCUGCGGACACAGGGAUGAAAGGAGCAAUUCGCUUCAGGAGGAGCCCGCGGCUGAUUAGCUAGUUGGUGAGGUAAUGGCUCACCAAGGCAACGAUCAGUAUCCGGUCUGAGAGGACGGUCGGACACACUGGAACUGAGACACGGUCCAGACUCCUACGGGAGGCAGCAGUGGGGAAUUUUUCGCAAUGGGGGCAACCCUGACGAAGCAACGCCGCGUGGAUGAUGAAGUAUCUCGGUACGUAAAAUCCUUUCGACAGGGAAGAAACCGCAAGGUUGACGGUACCUGUAGAAGAAGCCCCGGCUAACUCCGUGCCAGCAGCCGCGGUAAUACGGGGGGGGCUAGCGUUGUUCGGAAUUACUGGGCGUAAAGGGCGCGUAGGCGGUCUGCUAAGUUGGAUGUGAAAACUCUGGGCUUAACCCAGAGCCUGCAUUCAAUACUGACAGGCUAGAGUUCUGGAGGGGAUAGCGGAAUUCCUGGUGUAGCGGUGAAAUGCGUAGAUAUCAGGAGGAACACCGGUGGCGAAGGCGGCUAUCUGGACAGAAACUGACGCUGAGGCGCGAAAGCUAGGGGAGCAAACAGGAUUAGAUACCCUGGUAGUCCUAGCCCUAAACGAUGGAUACUUGGUGUGACUGGGAUUGAAUCCAGUCGUGCCGAAGCUAACGCAUUAAGUAUCCCGCCGGGGGAGUACGGUCGCAAGGCUGAA